UACGUAGGGUGCGAGCGUUAAUCGGAAUUACUGGGCGUAAAGUGUGCGCAGGCGGCAGAGCAAGUCGAGUGUGAAAGCCCCGGGCUUAACUUGGGAAUUGCGCUCGAAACUACUUUGCUGGAGUGUGGCAGAGGAAGGUGGAAUUCCACGUGUAGCGGUGAAAUGCGUAGAGAUGUGGAGGAACACCAAUGGCGAAGGCAGCCUCCUGGGCCAACACUGACGCUCAUGCACGAAAGCGUGGGGAGCAAACAGG
rnacentral:rRNA from 1 species